rnacentral:rRNA from 1 species
AAGCACAGCAAUGUGUUCAGCUAACCGGUACUAAUUGACCGUGAGGCUUGACCAUA